AGGUGCUUUCCUAUGAUAAAGGGACAGUCAACUAUCUCACUAACACAAGCAGGUUUUUGCUUUGACUACAUCUCAUUUCCCUGUUCCACUACCUGUCCGGUAGCCCUUCUUGCUAAACUUCUCAGGACCUUUAGCUGUUCAUUUCGAGAUUCUGGCACAAGGUAUGUAGAUCCUGCAAGGAUGACCAGCAGAAAAGGUGGUUCCAAACUGGAGCAUGACUAAAAAGUCAAUCACAUUCAGACCAAUGACUCACCAAGACCCUGGGGCUCCAGGGCGUGACUGACUUAUGGAGGACACCUGAGCACCCUCCUCAUUUUGACCAGUUCCUAGAUGCCUCAGAGGACACAUACACCAGACCACCAUCCUCAAUAAAAAUCCCAGACCCAAAGCAAAAACAAGACUCCAUCUCCUUUCCUUUCUGAGUCUCCCAGAUGUUGUCUGUACCUAC